GGGUUGUGAGGUUAAGCGACUAAGCGUACACGGUGGAUGCCCUGGCAGUCAGAGGCGAUGAAGGACGUGCUAAUCUGCGAUAAGCGUCGGUAAGGUGAUAUGAACCGUUAUAACCGGCGAUUUCCGAAUGGGGAAACCCAGUGUGAUUCGUCACACUAUCAUUAACUGAAUCCAUAGGUUAAUGAGGCGAACCGGGGGAACUGAAACAUCUAAGUACCCCGAGGAAAAGAAAUCAACCGAGAUUCCCCCAGUAGCGGCGAGCGAACGGGGAGCAGCCCAGAGCCUGAAUCAGUGUGUGUGUUAGUGGAAGCGUCUGGAAAGGCGUGCGAUACAGGGUGACAGCCCCGUACACAAAAAUGCACAUGCUGUGAGCUCGAUGAGUAGGGCGGGACACGUGGUAUCCUGUCUGAAUAUGGGGGGACCAUCCUCCAAGGCUAAAUACUCCUGACUGACCGAUAGUGAACCAGUACCGUGAGGGAAAGGCGAAAAGAACCCCGGCGAGGGGAGUGAAAAAGAACCUGAAACCGUGUACGUACAAGCAGUGGGAGCACGCUUAGGCGUGUGACUGCGUACCUUUUGUAUAAUGGGUCAGCGACUUAUAUUCUGUAGCAAGGUUAACCGAAUAGGGGAGCCGAAGGGAAACCGAGUCUUAACUGGGCGUUAAGUUGCAGGGUAUAGACCCGAAACCCGGUGAUCUAGCCAUGGGCAGGUUGAAGGUUGGGUAACACUAACUGGAGGACCGAACCGACUAAUGUUGAAAAAUUAGCGGAUGACUUGUGGCUGGGGGUGAAAGGCCAAUCAAACCGGGAGAUAGCUGGUUCUCCCCGAAAGCUAUUUAGGUAGCGCCUCGUGAAUUCAUCUCCGGGGGUAGAGCACUGUUUCGGCAAGGGGGUCAUCCCGACUUACCAACCCGAUGCAAACUGCGAAUACCGGAGAAUGUUAUCACGGGAGACACACGGCGGGUGCUAACGUCCGUCGUGAAGAGGGAAACAACCCAGACCGCCAGCUAAGGUCCCAAAGUCAUGGUUAAGUGGGAAACGAUGUGGGAAGGCCCAGACAGCCAGGAUGUUGGCUUAGAAGCAGCCAUCAUUUAAAGAAAGCGUAAUAGCUCACUGGUCGAGUCGGCCUGCGCGGAAGAUGUAACGGGGCUAAACCAUGCACCGAAGCUGCGGCAGCGACGCUUAUGCGUUGUUGGGUAGGGGAGCGUUCUGUAAGCCUGCGAAGGUGUGCUGUGAGGCAUGCUGGAGGUAUCAGAAGUGCGAAUGCUGACAUAAGUAACGAUAAAGCGGGUGAAAAGCCCGCUCGCCGGAAGACCAAGGGUUCCUGUCCAACGUUAAUCGGGGCAGGGUGAGUCGACCCCUAAGGCGAGGCCGAAAGGCGUAGUCGAUGGGAAACAGGUUAAUAUUCCUGUACUUGGUGUUACUGCGAAGGGGGGACGGAGAAGGCUAUGUUGGCCGGGCGACGGUUGUCCCGGUUUAAGCGUGUAGGCUGGUUUUCCAGGCAAAUCCGGAAAACUAAGGCUGAGGCGUGAUGACGAGGCACUACGGUGCUGAAGCAACAAAUGCCCUGCUUCCAGGAAAAGCCUCUAAGCAUCAGGUAACAUCAAAUCGUACCCCAAACCGACACAGGUGGUCAGGUAGAGAAUACCAAGGCGCUUGAGAGAACUCGGGUGAAGGAACUAGGCAAAAUGGUGCCGUAACUUCGGGAGAAGGCACGCUGAUAUGUAGGUGAAGCGACUUGCUCGUGGAGCUGAAAUCAGUCGAAGAUACCAGCUGGCUGCAACUGUUUAUUAAAAACACAGCACUGUGCAAACACGAAAGUGGACGUAUACGGUGUGACGCCUGCCCGGUGCCGGAAGGUUAAUUGAUGGGGUCAGCGCAAGCGAAGCUCUUGAUCGAAGCCCCGGUAAACGGCGGCCGUAACUAUAACGGUCCUAAGGUAGCGAAAUUCCUUGUCGGGUAAGUUCCGACCUGCACGAAUGGCGUAAUGAUGGCCAGGCUGUCUCCACCCGAGACUCAGUGAAAUUGAACUCGCUGUGAAGAUGCAGUGUACCCGCGGCAAGACGGAAAGACCCCGUGAACCUUUACUAUAGCUUGACACUGAACAUUGAGCCUUGAUGUGUAGGAUAGGUGGGAGGCUUGGAAGUGUGGACGCCAGUCUGCAUGGAGCCGACCUUGAAAUACCACCCUUUAAUGUUUGAUGUUCUAACGUUGACCCGUAAUCCGGGUUGCGGACAGUGUCUGGUGGGUAGUUUGACUGGGGCGGUCUCCUCCUAAAGAGUAACGGAGGAGCACGAAGGUUGGCUAAUCCUGGUCGGACAUCAGGAGGUUAGUGCAAUGGCAUAAGCCAGCUUGACUGCGAGCGUGACGGCGCGAGCAGGUGCGAAAGCAGGUCAUAGUGAUCCGGUGGUUCUGAAUGGAAGGGCCAUCGCUCAACGGAUAAAAGGUACUCCGGGGAUAACAGGCUGAUACCGCCCAAGAGUUCAUAUCGACGGCGGUGUUUGGCACCUCGAUGUCGGCUCAUCACAUCCUGGGGCUGAAGUAGGUCCCAAGGGUAUGGCUGUUCGCCAUUUAAAGUGGUACGCGAGCUGGGUUUAGAACGUCGUGAGACAGUUCGGUCCCUAUCUGCCGUGGGCGCUGGAGAACUGAGGGGGGCUGCUCCUAGUACGAGAGGACCGGAGUGGACGCAUCACUGGUGUUCGGGUUGUCAUGCCAAUGGCACUGCCCGGUAGCUAAAUGCGGAAGAGAUAAGUGCUGAAAGCAUCUAAGCACGAAACUUGCCCCGAGAUGAGUUCUCCCUGACUCCUUGAGAGUCCUGAAGGAACGUUGAAGACGACGACGUUGAUAGGCCGGGUGUGUAAGCGCAGCGAUGCGUUGAGCUAACCGGUACUAAUGAACCGUGAGGCUUAACCUUACAACGCCGAAGGUGUUU
rnacentral:rRNA from 1 species